GUAAUGUUAGCUAGCUAACUGAUUGCAACAUGUUCAAGUAGGAAGCAGAAGGGGGUUGGACGCAUGUUCAUUCAGAUUACUGGUAAAGUGAACAGUGCAGACUGACUGUAGGCUAUUUCGCGCCCAAGAAACUGCUUCCUACCAGGUAAACCUCUAGACAGGCCUGACAGUGGAGAUGUCUAAAGCGCCAGAUGGCCCCGCACGGACCCGCUCCAGGUCAAAGUCCAGGUCCAGGUCUUGCACACGGUCUCGUUCCAGAAGCCGCUCCCGUUCCAGGUCCAGGAAGCACCGCUACAGUUCUAGGUCACGUUCCCGCUCCAGAUCUCACUCUCCGUCCCACGGCAGGAACUAUCCCACCAGAGACUACCAGAACAACCGGGGUUACCAGAGGGGCUACAACCGUGGCUUCCGCAGACCCUUUUACUUCCGCGGUAGAACCCGGGGCUUCUACCCUCGCCAGGGUUACCAGAGAGGAGGUAACAGCUACGGCUACAGAGCCAACAACUGGCAGGGGGGAGGCUACCGGGAUGGGCCGCCCCACGACCAGGACCACCACGGUCCUCACAGCCCCAGGAGGGGGAGAUCUCGGUCCCGCACGCCCCGGAAACGCUCAGGCAGCCGCAGCCACUCCCGGUCUCGAUACUCUGACCGUUCGUCCUCCAGGGGUUCCCGACGGUCCCGGCGGCACCACAGCUCCUCUUCCCGCUCCUCUUCCCCGCGGAAUCGCCGCAGCAGCCCCGGCUCAGGGAAGCCUGGCUCUAAAGAUGUAAAGGACAAGACUACACCAGCAGAGGCCAAGGAGGAGAGGGGAGGGGCUGGGGAGCAGGUAGGAGGACCAGGGGGAGAAGGCAGCAGUCAUGAUAAGGCCUCUGCUGGGAAAUGGCAGGGUCUGAGUGACUAUAACAACAGCCCCAAAUGCAGCAGUCCGGCUGUUGGUGCCAAACAGGGGAAGUCUGACCCCAAAGGGUCAUUGUGGAGAACCAUGGGCAGCACUGGCGGUGUUCCCUCUACCAAGAGCCCACCGGGCUCCACCAGUGGGUUUGGUUUUUUUGGCAAGGAGGAUCCCACCAGAGCAGACGAUAAGACUGCUAUUUCCUCUGCUUUCAAGAAGUUCUUGGCAGAAAACAAGAACAAAAAGCAGCAGCAGGCGGCGGCAGAGUGGGAGAAUGGCCAGGACGGAGACAGCAGAGAGAAAGGGAACAGCAAGAUUGGAGGAGGCCUUUUCAACAUAACAGCAGCCUCCUUCAGCUCCAAGGCCGAUAAGUCUCUGCCCUUCCUGGAAAGAGCCGAAGAGGCCUUCCUCAAGUCUCAGGCUGCUGAAAGAGAGGAGGAGGAGGAGGUGGUCAAGCCCAAAGGAGCCACCCUGACAACACGGGAUGUGUUUGGGAAGUGGGAAGACGAGCCCCAUUACUACCCCCCGGGGAAGGAUGAGGAGAGACGGAGAGACACGGCCGAAGACGUGGAUGAAGACCUGGAACACAUGGAAGAGGAGCUUUACCGCAGCCGCAAGCAGGCCUCCAAGAAAGAAGAGAAGUCCAAGAGGAAGGAGAAGAAGAAGGAGAAGAGCAACAGGAGGAGUCCAUCUCCCGUCAGUGCAGCAGUGCCCCCUAGGGGUUCAGGCAGCGGGGAGAAGGACAGGCCCCUAGCCCUGUUCCCCAUCAAUAGGUUGGAGUCACACCUACCCCGGUCCUCUGGGAAGAGGGAGGGUUUGGAGCACAGUAUCAACACAUUUGAUGAAAUGCCCAGCUCCUCUGGAAGUCUGACUAAGGAGCGUGGUUUGUCCAGGGAUCUGGUGCAUCCCAGUAAGAAAGAUCCCGGACAGUUCCGCUCCAUUUUCCAACACAUACAGGCUGCUCAACUCCAACGCAGCCCCUCUGAGCUGUUUGCGCAGCAUAUUGUCACCAUUGUGCACUACAUCAAAGCACAACAUUUCCACUCUUCAGGCAUGACUUUAAGUGAGCGAUUUGCCAUGUACCAAAGAAAAGCAGCUGAGAUGGAAUUGAUUAAACAAAGGAAGAGUCCAGAAAUCCACAGGAGAAUCGAUGUCUCCCCCAGUGCUUUUACCAGACACUCUCACCUGCUUGAGGAGCUGGAGGACUGCAGCUACAAGGAUCGGGGUAGAACAGCCAAAACGGACCCAAUGGACCUGCGUCUGGAUAUAGAGCGCCGUAAAAGGUUUUCUGGGAAGGAGCAACGGGACGGGGGCAAGGGCUCCCAAGGACCCAGCCAAGAGAGGUCCUCAGAGAAAUCUUCCAAACGCCACAAGAAAUCAAAAAAAAACAAGAAGAAUCGUAAUCGCUCUCCAUCCUCCUCCUCCUCUUCCUCCUCCUCUCCAUCUCCCUUCAGAGAAGGGUUCAGAGGUAAAAACCACAUGAUGGGGGAGGAAAUGGAGCAUAUGGACCAGGGCUACAGUAAGCCUCGCUUCGGGUCCCGUGACUAUGAGGGCCCCAUGGAUAGAUGUCCCCCCCGUGACUAUGAGGGCCACAUGGAUAGGGGUCCCCCCCGCGACUAUGAGGGCCCCAUGGAUAGGGGCCGAGGACGUGGAGGAUUUCUUCCCAGAGUAAGAGGAGGAGGAAGGGGCUGGAAUAGGGGCAAUUACCAAGGUAACACAAGCAGCAAUGGCAACCCCCCUCCUAAUAUGAACGCCGCCCCCCCAGAGCGCCCCCCCAGAUGAGGACUGGGACCCAGAGUACACCCCCAAGAGCAGGAAAUACUACUUUCAUGAUGACCGUGAGGACGAGAAGACAUGGCUGGAGAGCUGUGGCCGAGGGGUCUUUCCCCACAGCAGGGGUCGCUUCAUCUACCGCAAGGGGGGCAGAAGCCCCAACAAGUGGACUCAUGACAUGUUCCAGACUGGCGAGGAAGGGGGUGGGAACAAGGAGGAGGAGCACCACAAAGAGUUGGACCAGAAAGACGACAACCAGGCCGCCGUAGACCCCGCAGCUUCCUCCAAACUGUAGUAGAGGACUAGGCCCUGUUACUUCUCUUGCUCCUCCUCAUCCUCAUCCUCUUGCUCCUCCUCCAUCCUCUUGCUCCUCCUUCAUCCUCUUGUUCCUCCUCACCCAUCUUCUACCACCAGAGCUUUCUGUCCAUUUGUGAGAGGUCAUGUGAUCCUCUGAGAUCAUCUCUGUGUAGGCUAUAGGAGCCUGCACACAGUCACAUCAGACUGUACAUGAUACACUGGUCUUUGUAUUGUUGAGGCAGUGCCACUUUCAGUAAGUUGUGAAAGAUGUUGAAUUGAACUUGAGUUAAGAGCAAUAGUUUUUUAUUUUAAUUACUUCUAGUAAUUUGUUUCUCUUUCUGAGUGUUUAAUUACUACCAGUAAUUUGUCUUUGUUUAUCUGUCUGUAUUUGUUUUGUGAACAGCUGACUGGUUUUCAGUUGUUUUCUGGGUCUGCAAUGGUGAUGGUAUUGCAGCUACAUUGAUUUAAAACUUCAAGGACAAAUUAUUUUCCCUGUUAAGACAUUGAAAUGACAUGCAUUUGUGCCUUAAAGUUUAUAUUCAUACAUGGUGAUAUAUGUGCAUUGCUCUAAUUCUGUGCAAAUGUUCUGCUGUACUAGCUAAUGCAAGCCUUUAGCUAAACAUGUGUUUUGGGCAAUGAUACGUUUCUGAGGGUAUUUGCAUAACCAUUUGGACUCUUAACUCUCCACCCCAUUGGACCAACCUACUGUGGGUACUGAACUCCCCACCCCAUUGGACCAACCUACUGUGGGUACUGAGAACUCCCCACCCCAUUGGACCAACCUACUGUGGGUACUGAGAACUCCCCACCCCAUUGGACCAACCUACUGUGGGUACUGAGAACUCCACAUUAGAGUUUCUCAGAUUGUCCCAUUUGAGAAUUCUUCAUCAUAUCCUAAGCAUUUUCAUUACUGCCAAUACUUCUGCUCUCCUACUUUUUGGGGGGUUGAGGUUUUGUGUGGUGCCCCCCCUCCUGUUGAUACUGGAUGUUUUUCUGUUUUUAAAGCAAGGAUUUUCACUGUGUAAAAUGAAAGGACUGUGACAAAAAAUAGUUUGUUUCCGAGUAAAUUAAAAAAAGUUUAAAAAAUAAUAUUGUUAUUGAGGCAUUUAUCUUGGGAGAUAAGUGUUUAUAUAGGAUACUGUAUGUUUUAAUAACAUUUUUGAAAAUGGAUCAGUUUAUGGGCUUGUCGGAGUCCUUCAGUAAUGUUCUUUAUCCAUAGGUAAACUUGGACUGUUGAGGUUUAUGUCAUAAGAUGUAGAGAACAUUUCCCUAUAUGUGGCAAGUACUGUCAAAGUAUAAUUGUUGGGUGGUUAAACAGGUGAGUAGGGUUUAGUGAGGUACUGGGCUGCUUUGUUUGGCCUAUCCAGACUGUCCUGUACUGUAGGACUGUGAUUUAAAUUUUUGUUUUUUUAUGCUACAUUUGAAACUGACGCUAACAUAUUUUCUGUUACUUCAGAGCUUUGAACUACUCUUAAAUGUUCAAUAAAUACGUUCUCCGGUU